rnacentral:rRNA from 1 species
UACGGAGGGUGCGAGCGUUACCCGGAUUUACUGGGUGUAAAGGGCGCGUAGGCGGUUGUCUAAGUCCGAUGCUAAAGACCGAAGCUCAACUUCGGGAGUGCGUUGGAUACUGGAGAGCUAGACGGUCGGAGAGGGUAGCGGAAUGGUCAGAGUAGCGGUGAAAUGCGCAGAUACUGAUCGGAACGCCAAUAGCGAAAGCAGCUACCUGGACGACAAGUGACGCUGAGGCGCGAAAGCGUGGGGAGCAAACAGG